rnacentral:rRNA from 1 species
GCGUGGGAACGUGCCUUUCGGUCCGGAAUAACUCAGGGAAACUUGGGCUAAUACUGGAUACGCCCUUCGGGGAAGUGAUUUAUCGCCGAAAGAUCGGCCCGCGUCAGAUUAGCUUGUUGGUGGGGUAAUGGCUCACCAAGGCGACGAUCUGUAGCUGGUCUGAGAGGAUGAUCAGCCACACUGGGACUGAGACACGGCCCAGACUCCUACGGGAGGCAGCAGUGGGGAAUAUUGGACAAUGGGCGCAAGCCUGAUCCAGCCAUGCCGCGUGGGUGAAGAAGGCCCUAGGGUUGUAAACCC